UACGUAGGGGGGCAAGCGUUGUCCGGAAUUAUUGGGCGUAAAGAGCGUGUAGGCGGUCCGGUAAGUCGGCUGUGAAAAGUCCAGGGCUCAACCCCUGGGGAUGCCGGUCGAUACUGCCGGACUAGAGUUCGGAAGAGGCGAGUGGAAUUCCCGGUGUAGCGGUGAAAUGCGCAGAUAUCGGGGAGGAACACCUAUGGGCGAAGGCAGCUCGCUGGGGGCGUUUACUGACGCUGAGACGCGAAAAGCGUGGGGGAGCAAACAGG
rnacentral:rRNA from 1 species